CCAUGCACUUGGCCCCUUGAGAGAUCUUUUGGAAUCUAUUGCCUGGUUUCCUUUUGUCCCUUUAGAAAUCAUGGCCAUGCAUGCAUACCUCCAUGGCAUGGCAGCAGAAUCUAUGGUUUGCCUGGCCUUCAAGUCAUUCGAUAUCCUCAGUGUUGUUUUAUAUUCAUAAAGGCAUCUGAUCUGCAUUGGUUUACACAACACAGACAAGCCUCUCUGCCAUGGCCAUAAGUACGCACCAUGCACGGUGAGCAACCCGGGGACUUUUUUUGGUUCAUGAGUUGCUUAGUGACUGGAGUAGUGAACUGAAAUCCAGUGCCCUUUGCAUGGACAGUAGCUUCUUUCCUGUUGAUACAGGCGCUCUUCGCUCGGACUCCCAUUAUAUUCCCUAAGACUCACAUAGGGGAAAGAGACGGGUCAGAGAGAGAGAGAGAGAGAGAGAGAGAGAGAGAGAGAGAGAGAGAGAGAGAGAGAGAGAGAGAGGGAGGGGUGUCUUUUGAGUUAGUUUUGUUUCACACAUGAAGAGAAAGGAGCUGAUCAUGAACGUUAUUUUGAUCCUUGCGUGCUUCAUUGUGUGCGCGGCAGGCGCGCUGCAGGAGAAGGCGGAGUCGACCACCCCGAUCCCUACCCUGUCUCCUCCGGAGGGAAACACGAGCUUCAUCGACGGUGUCACCUGGUGCGUCGCGCGGCCGGGAGUCCCCCAGGAGGACCUCCAGAACGCGCUGGACUGGGCGUGCGGCCAGGGCGCAGCCGACUGCUCGCCGCUGCAGCCGGGCGGGCAUUGCUACCAGCCCAACACGCUCCUGUUGCACGCCUCCUACGCCUUCAACAUCUUCUACCAGCAGAACGGCAAUUCCGACAUCGCCUGCAACUUCGGCGGCGCUGGAACCAUCACCAAGAGGGACCCAAGUUUCGGGCCAUGCAAGUUCCUGGCAUCUGAGUGAGUCUACUUCACACGUACUACUAGUAUACCAAAGGCACUCCAGUUUGGAACACAUGAAUUUCACAAGAAACACUUUCACACGACUUCUGCUGCUUCAGCGCUCGUGUUGAGGAGCAUGAGGAUGAUCUGUGCUGCGUUUCUGACCAUGCUCCAGCUCAGAGUUUUCAAAGCUGUGCACUGAGCGCCGUGUGUCGGUGGCUGGGAUGGCUUACUGUGGUGCUACCAAAGUAUGUAAUGCAAAAUCAACAAUGCUAUGGUGGUUUCUCCUUUUUUGCACUUAUGCAAGGAACUUUUUCUGUAAUUUUACAAGGACAUGCCUUCGGAGUAUAUAUCUAUAUUUUAUUAAAAGGUUAUUGAAUGCAAACUGAAUAUAGGAAGUGCCCACUGGCCACUGCCACCUUUUCUC